UACGGGAGGCAGCAGUGGGGAAUAUUGCACAAUGGGCGCAAGCCUGAUGCAGCCAUGCCGCGUGUAUGAAGAAGGCCUUCGGGUUGUAAAGUACUUUCAGCAGUGAGGAAGGUGGUGCAGUUAAUAGCUGUAUCAUUUGACGUUAGCUGCAGAAGAAGCACCGGCUAACUCCGUGCCAGCAGCCGCGGUAAUACGGAGGGUGCGAGCGUUAAUCGGAAUUACUGGGCGUAAAGCGCAUGCAGGUGGUUUGUUAAGUCAGAUGUGAAAGCCCCGGGGCUCAACCUCGGAAUUGCAUUUGAAACUGGCAGACUAGAGUACUGUAGAGGGGGUAGAAUUUCAGGUGUAGCGGUGAAAUGCGUAGAGAUCUGAAGGAAUACCGGUGGCGAAGGCGGCCCCCUGGACAGAUACUGACACUCAGAUGCGAAAGCGUGGGGAGCCAAACAGGAUUAGAUACCCUGGUAG
rnacentral:rRNA from 1 species